UACAGAGGGGGCAAGCGUUGUCCGGACUGACUGGGCGUAAAGCGCGCGCAGGCGGUCGCGGGCGUCGGUGCUGAAAGGGCGCCGCUUAACGGCGCGAAGGGUGCCGAUACGCCGCGACUGGAGCGAUGGCGAGGGUGGUGGAAUUGCCGGUGUAGUGGUGAAAUGCGUAGAGAUCGGCAGGAACACCCGUGGCGCAAGCGGCCACCUAGCCGUUGGCUGACGCUGAGGCGCGACAGCGAGGGGAGCGAACCGG
rnacentral:rRNA from 1 species